CGUGGUUUCGAUCAGCAGAUAAAUUGCGGCUCGGCUCCAUUAACUCUCUCUCUCUCUUCCUCGUUGCGGUGACGGAGGUCGAGCGUGUUUCUGCGGAGGAGUCGAACAUGUUCUGUUCGUCUUCGAUCAGCGGCCCUCAGAGCCCCGACCUGGACGAGCUGAUGAGAUGAGGUAAUGGGAACGAUGAUAAAUGCCGGAUCGCCUCGGUUUUCUGUUUUGUAAUUUAAAGGUGAAACUAAGCUAAAUAUUUCUACUGUCCCAGUUGUAGUUCAACAUAUACUUGUAAUUUUGUAUAAACUGUGCCGUUGCUCUCAAAUAAAGAAAAGUGUGUUAAACUGCA